AACCCUCAACACUCUUUCAGUCUCGUUCUCUCAUUCCCUGUCUCUCUCACACAGACACACAUACACACACAAACUCACACUCACUCACGCGCACACACAUCUUCCACCAAGACGCCGGAGGCUCAUUUCUGCGUGAUUGAAGGAUUAUUAUUCCAUUUUUACUCGUUUAUUCGGCCCGUACUGGUUGCUAAUUUGGCCGUUUGAGAUGGAGACACUUUACACAAAGUUAUACAACAAGUACAUUAAACUCAAGAAAGAAAAGGAUACGGCGAUGGAGAACCUGAACCGCGAUCAAGAAAAAAAGUUUAUGAAUUAUGUGAUUGCUUCAGACGAAAUGAUAGAGUUCUUAAGAAGUGAAAAUGAAAGACUAGGCAACCAAGUCAGUGACUUAAGAAGUGAAAUGGCUUUGCUAAGGUCUACCAAAGAUGAAGAAUGUAUUCAGUACAACAAACUGUUGAUGGAAGAAAACCAAAAUAAUAAAAAACUUCAAGAAGAAAUUGAGAGGCUUCGUAACCUUCAACGUGAGGGACACUGCUGCCAAGCUAGGGAUGACAAAGUUGGUGAUGAACCUGUUGACAUGCCUGUGAGUUCUCAGGUGGAGUCCUAUUCUUCAGAUGGCAUGAGUGUUAGAAAGACAAGGAAACGCAGUAGACAAUCUCUACAUGGUAGAGGAGAUACAAUUACACCAUCUGCCACCAAGGAACAUGAGCAUGAACAGUUGAAUGUGUUAUCAAAUAGAUCCUGCAAGGAAACUGAAGCCAGUGAUACUCCUUCAGACCAUUAUGAUGUUUUGCAGCCUGCAAUCUGCAAAAGGAAGAUGAAUAAUCCAGGCAGUGAUGUGGCUGCCAGUUGCAUGUUUCAAGAACUAGUGGAAUGGGUUGUUGGCUUGAAGUUGUCCAUUAUUCCUCAGAGUAAAGACUUCUGCAUAUCAGCUCUGCAUCCAUCAAGUGGUUACUCUUUCACUCUGACAUGGGUAAACAACUCAAAGGGUGAACCAGAGUUGCUCUAUCAUGUUUUAGCACUUGGGACCUUUGAAAGAGUGGCACCAGAGUGGAUGAGAGAUGUCUUGAUGUUCAGCAUGAGUAUGUGCCCUACCUUCUUUCAUAGGGUAGCCCGAGUUAUACAGCUCAAUCACUGACAACUUUUAGCUUCUUUUCUGGUUCUAACUGGAGAAGCGUGGAUGUGAUCAUCCUUCUGUCCUGGAAAGAUUUCUAACAAAUGGGUGAUGCUUUUGUUGAUCGUUUGUUAUAUUGAUCUACUCCCACAAAUGGAUCUAUACCUUUAUAUCUGACGCGGUGAUGUCUUUGGAUGAAGUCAGAUUGGGCAGGUUCAAACCUAUUCUGGUCUUUUGUGGCUUGGAUUCUGGAAUGCUUCUGUAAUUCCUUCCAAGCCUUGUCACUUUCUGUUUCUGUCUCUGUUUGUAAGACGUGUCAUUUUCAUUUGCUACUUGGACAUUUAAUUGUGGUGCAUGAUCUAAUGGAGUCAACAGAGUUAAGUUAGAAUUCAGUUACUGGCUUAAAAUCUUUGUAAUACUCGCCCUUGUAUGCAAGGUCCAGGGUUGGGGUUGGCUUUUGCCGAAUAGAUCUCUCAAGCGAUGGUGAUGGGAUGCAACAGGUUCUUCCUUGGUGGAAGGGUAUACGUCUUGCCUGUUGUUGAAACUUGGACGUAUCAUCAUGGAAGCUGGCUUUUUCCAGCCUAGUGUUGCAUCUGAAGUUGAGUUGAGCUUACUUUAGCAAGCUUGACUUUGGUUUGACUUUUCUUCUUGCUGAAUUUUAUAGUCAAAUUCGACUUUGGAAUGCCAAACAUCAUAGAAACCUUUAUUGCUUAAACUUGAAAAAAAGAGAAAAGGGUAAACUAGUCAGCUUUGAGCAUUCUUUAAAACUUGAUGAUGUAAUUUUUUACAAAAGGUAGUAAUUUCUGGUUUUUGUUAGUUAGGAGAGGUGAUGAUGAAUGAAUAAUUUUGGUUUACUUGUAAUCUGUUCA